AGCUUUGCGCAGUGGCAGUAUCGUAGCCAAUGAGGUUUAUCCGAGGCGCAAUUAUUGCUAAUUGAAAACUUUUCCCAAUACCCCGCCGUGACGACUUGAAAUAAAAAACAUCAUAAUUUAAAUAGGGCAUUUCUUUUCUUGUGAAU